UGGGGAAUAUUGCACAAUGGGCGCAAGCCUGAUGCAGCCAUGCCGCGUGUGUGAAGAAGGCCUUCGGGUUGUAAAGCACUUUCAGCGGGGAGGAAGGCGUUAAGGUUAAUAACCUUGGCGAUUGACGUUACCCGCAGAAGAAGCACCGGCUAACUCCGUGCCAGCAGCCGCGGUAAUACGGAGGGUGCAAGCGUUAAUCGGAAUUACUGGGCGUAAAGCGCACGCAGGCGGUCUGUCAAGUCGGAUGUGAAAUCCCCGGGCUCAACCUGGGAACUGCAUUCGAAACUGGCAGGCUAGAGUCUUGUAGAGGGGGGUAGAAUUCUAGGUGUAGCGGUGAAAUGCGUAGAGAUCUGGAGGAAUACCGGUGGCGAAGGCGGCCCCCUGGACAAAGACUGACGCUCAGGUGCGAAAGCGUGGGGAGCAAACAGG
rnacentral:rRNA from 1 species